rnacentral:rRNA from 1 species
UACGAAGGGGGCUAGCGUUGCUCGGAAUCACUGGGCGUAAAGCGCACGUAGGCGGCUUUCUAAGUCAGGGGUGAAAUCCUGGAGCUCAACUCCAGAACUGCCUUUGAUACUGGAGAGCUUGAGUCCGGAAGAGGUGAGUGGAACUCCGAGUGUAGAGGUGAAAUUCGUAGAUAUUCGGAAGAACACCAGUGGCGAAGGCGGCUCACUGGUCCGGUACUGACGCUGAGGCGCGAAAGCGUGGGGAGCGAACAGG